CUUCACCUAUGCAGUUCAGCAGUGUGCUUCCCCUAGAGGGAAACUCCGGACGACUACAACGAUCGCCCUAGGCACAAUCAUUUCCGACUAUUUCUUCCUUCGACUUGAACUGGUACCUGUUCGACAUCCUACUUCUCAAGGAAAUCUGCCAAUUUGAACACAAGUCUUUUCCAAUCUGAGAAGGCCGCUACUUUGUCAAGGUGACGCAUAAAUUUGUUUUAGCUCUAUUUUUCCCGACUUUCGUAUCUAUGCUUUUAACUUGCUAGGUGUGAUCUGUCCUUUAUUGUGUUUGUUGUACCUACAUAUGCAUCCUCUUUUCUCCCUAAAGCUUUCAUACAAUCUGUUGCGCUUCUUAAUUUGUGUUGGCCCCAUUUAUCGUUUUCCCCAAUACAAUCUUUUUCGCAUAUGAAUAUUUUAGUGCAGUAAACUCUAAACUUCCGUUGGCCAACUCAGGCUUCAUAAACUUCUAUCAGUCUGCUGAGGAUUUCAGUGCUUCAUUAAGGUUCUGGGAGUGAGAAGAUGAGGAUCAACUGCUGCAGCAUCUGGCGCAACAAGGCACUGAGGAGGAUGUGUUUCAGUGAAAGGGGUGCUGUGAGCAGCACCCAGUGUGUGCUCACAUCAGAUGCUGGCCCAGACACUCUUGUCGUCCGAACAUCCUUUCAGAGGAAUUAUGCUGAUCCUAACGAAGUCACUGCUGUCAUUUUGGGUGGUGGUACCGAGACUCAGCUUCUCCCUCUCACAUCGGCACAUCGCUAGGGUUCAGGCUCUUUUAGUGAAACUGGUGUGCUUUACCUCUGAAUCUUUG